rnacentral:lncRNA from 1 species
GCAUUCUGUAGGCCACUGGCAUGAUAAAAGUAAUCUGAAACAUCAGCGUUUCAAUACCAACCAGUAGAGCUUCAUAUGAAACAUAAUGCAGCAUUUCUGUGAUCGAUUGAGGUUGAGAAACUGCUUGGAUAUUGAAACACUCAUCAAUCAUCUCACACUGGUUAAUGCCAUUCAGAUUAUUAUCUCUGAACAUAAUAAUUAUUGCAUGUGAGGAUGAUAUUGAGAAUGACAGAAGAACAUGAGAACAUGCUUAAUGACUCCUGUGACAUAUACUUGAAUUAUUUUUAGACAACUUUAAUGAAAUAACAUUAGAUCAAAUAAAAUGUAUCCUCAAGGAUGAUUCUGUGUUUCUGUGAAUGAUCACACCCAGCCACAUGACAUUUAUUGAUGACAUUUACCAAACUACAUUUUAAUAGUACAUACAUAAUAACUGAUACAAAAGACCAUAGUUACACUGCAAGUGAAGAACAGUGUGGAUUAUCACACCAUCUAUCUUUACAAAUGGUAUUUUCAGUAAGACCUUGAAUACUUAGUUAACGAACUGGAACAAAGUCAUAAUCAACUGCUCAGAGUAUGCAGAGCGUACUCAAACAUCCAUGUAUACGUCUUCUGAGUUAUUGUCUUGAAAUAGUUUGCUGUUUGGACAAUUUUAUAUGGAUAAUCUAGAAUGGGGUUAAUAUCUGAUUUCACAUCAAAUCCAUCUACGCCCAAAUUAAAUUAUAUAUUUUUUAAUUGAGCUCAAUCUCAUUAAAAAAAAUCAUACUUCUCCAGAAAAAGAGAGAUUUCUUAAUCAGCAUAUCAUUAAGACCGCUUCAACAAGUCAUCCAUCUCUCCGUUAAUGAUUGAUUAAUCAAGGUUAAUAACGGACCAACUUAUCACACCAAACCAUAUGAAGGUCUCAUCCAUUAUAAUCAAAAGGACAUUGUAUCCCCUAUCCCAGGACUACAUCACGCGGUGACCGUCCCUGCCGUCACAGUCAAACAAAUGUCAGCAUCCCAAAUGGUGCCCUAUUCCCUACAUAGUGCACUACUUUUGACCAGGGCCCACAGUGUGUUAUUUGGGGAAUAGGGUGCCAUUUGAAAAGCAGACUUUGACUAUUCACAAACUGUGACUGUAUUAAUGUUGUGUUUGACCUCCUGGGGUCUGCUCUACGAUGAGGCAGAGACACAUCAGAGAUGUAGCCUCCCAGUCUCAACACUACACUUAAAGGGGAGCUUAGUGUCUGCCUGCUGCAAUUUAGAGAGUGACUUUGGGGUUUGGAGGUGUGGAUGCCCUCUGUCUGGUAACUUUCUCUGAAUCCCACCGCUGACACCAAUGUGCACCAAGGGCACACAGUAAAAGCAGUAGACAACUAUUCUGGCUCUCCGGGGUAAACACAAUAUGUGAAGAGCAGGGCUUUCCAAUCCUGUUCCUGGAGAGCUACUCUCCUGUAGGUGUUCUCUCCAACCCUGUUCCUGGAGAGCUACUCUCCUGUAGGUGUUCUCUCCAACCCUGUUCCUGGAGAGCUACCCUCCAGUAGUUUUGCUGCAACCCCAGUUGUAACUGACCGGAUUCUGCUC